UCAGUCGGCCGGACGGCCGCUUCCGCUAUGGUCGAAAGGCUGCGGGGGAGGAAAGUCCGGGCUCCAUCGACAUGCGGUGCCGGAUAACGUCCGGCGGGGGUAACCCCAGGGAAAGUGCCACAGAGAACGAACCGCUCCCCACCCGAAAGGGAGGGGAGUAAGGGUGAAAAGGUGCGGUAAGAGCGCACCGCGUUUCCGGCAACGGAGACGGCAUGGCAAACCCCACCGGGAGCAAAACCGAAUAGGGACGGCAACGCGGGCUGUUCGCGAAAGCGAUAACGCCGCAGGGCGAUGUCAAGCUCGCCGUCCGGGUAGGUUGCUCGAGACCAUGUGCGAACAUGGUCCCAGAGGAAUGGCCGUCACGUACCAUUUGCAAGAAUGGUACCCUACAGAACCCGGCUUACAGGCUGGCUGAUAUC
rnacentral:RNase_P_RNA from 1 species